CCCCGGGCUGUCUGUUUAAACAGUCUGCGCCCUUUUUUUUAUAUAAAACUUGAGCCAAAACGACGUCGUUUUGUCCAGGUUUUUUUGAAAAAACAAAAAAAUUCAUUGGUGGAAGUCGUUUUGAUGUCGAGGGAAAAAAAAACAUAGAAGCGCGCAAGCAAUGCUGGAGCAAUAGUCUGCACCCCUUUGGGGACUUUCAUCAAACACUUUGCAGGGGUCAAUUUUCUCUCCUUCAAUGGCAGAUUUCAGAGGUUGCAGGGGUCAUUUGACCACCCUUGCUCCUCUGUAGAUCCGUCCCUGAGUGGAAGUCGUUUUGAUGUCGAGGGAAAAAAAAAACAUAGAAGCGCGCAAGCAAUGCUGGAGCAAUAGUCUGCGCCCCUUUGGGGACUUUCAUCAAACACUUUGCAGGGGUCAAUUUUCUCUCCUUCAAUGGCAGAUUUCAGAGGUUGCAGGGUCACUUGACCACCCUUGCUCCUCUGUAGAUCCGUCCCUGGAUACAAUCGCAGCCACACCUGUACAUGUAGCUUACAUUUCCGAUCAUUCUCGUUGAAAUUUUGGAGGUUUCCCGGUGUCUACACUUGACUUGACUGGAGCAGUUGUUGACGGUUACACGCUGUACAUCAGUUCGGAGAAGUUAUUUGCGGUUUGGCGGUUACUACAACAGCAGAUAAGUUUGACUAGUUAUCAUUAACAUUAACUGCCUCAUAGCCACAUCAUCCUGACUUUGGCCCAUGGAAUAUUUUAUUUUUCUUCCUUACCUGACCGGUUGUGCUUUCGGUUUUAGCCCAUGUAUUGGUUUUAUCUGAUAAUGGUUGAGAUUGAAUGCAAAUUUGUUGUGCUUUAAUUGAGUUUGAUUAAGAAUCAUUUUUGAGAAAUUUGGGUUUCGUUUAGAUUUUUGAAUGGAUGCAUUGGAAUUUUUAUAAGGUUAUAGGGCAUUGAAGAAAAAUUGGAGUUGCUACCACGAUAGAUGAACUGAAAAUUUGUGGUUCUUGAAAUAAAACGCCUUUGUUUCAAAUUGUAAUUGUGUGAAUGGUAUCACUUGAUAAGCGGUUUCUGUGUCAAAUUAUGAAUUUACAGAUUUGAUACUAUUGUUGUGCUGAAUGGUGAUCUUUGUAUUGAAGUAUCUAGUUUUAUUGUUGACUAGGGUACCCGUCGAUCCACUCCAGUGGCAGAUUUCGUAGGACACUGCUAAUAGCAUUGUUGCCCUUUUAGCGAAUAUCAUAGGAGCAGCUGAGUCUGUAUUGAGCGUUGCAGCCACAGGACCUGACAAGAGGUGGUUUUUCAAGACAGCUCACCAGAUAACUUC